rfam:Nematocida parisii ERTm3 unplaced genomic scaffold supercont1.2, whole genome shotgun sequence.
GCUUUCAUAGCUCAGUUGGUUAGAGCAUCGGACUAAUAACCCGAAGGCCCCAGGUUCGAGCCCUGGUGAAAGCA